GUUUCACUUUGGACCAGAGUGGGAAAGCUCCAGAAUUCAGCCUCUUAUUAAGUAGAAUCAUGAAAUGAUAAAAGAGUUCUUUAUAAACUGGCACUGCAGAAGGAUGUGAUGACAUCAGGAAGCUUGGAUUCUAAAAAAGCUGAUGGUCCUUGCCUGGGAAAGCUUCCUUCUCAUCUCAGGUAAGA